GCGAGAUGAUACCACAGAGCUGCUACGAACACCCAAGGACUGCCAUUGUCUGAUGAGGAGAGAAAACGCUUGUACAAGGUAAGCUUGACUCAAACUCGAGAAGGAACACAAAGCGGAACAAACCGGACUAAAAGUUUCUGAGGAGUUUGGAUCAUAACGUGAGUAACAACUCAUCCCACACUAUAUAAUAUGAUAUGAUAUAAUAAGUUUACAUUUCAUUGCAUUUUAGUUCCUGCAACACUGGAUAAUGACUAUUGAUUAAUAUCCUCUAUACUGAUCAGGAUCAUAUACUCUACUGCCUCCUGGACAAGUCUCUCUCAGUGGUCAGGAGUAUCCACCACAGCCAACCUAGCAAAAGCAACUUAUUUUUAUGAUUGUUUUAGCAUAUACUAAUUGUGUAAAACAAUGGGUUUCGUCGUCACAUUUUUUUUCACACAUGCAUAGAAUGUGGUUGGAUCAGAACUUCUCUACUACAAUCAUCUCCAGGGGACCACACUCUUUCCUCUUGAUGCUCCACCACUUACAUGCCUUAAAUCUUUGUGUGCUUGCACCAUGGAUAGCUGUCUAAUUCUCCAAAGUAGAAACUCAACUUGAUCUUACACAGGUCUUUUUUGUCUUUACCGGCAUAGGUCUUAUAUGGCCAGAUUUUUACACUAAUACACGGUGUACAGCCAUAUUCAGAGAAGGUCAGGUAAAGUUCACUUAGCAAAGAUGAUUAACAUUCCCAAGUCAGUGAAUAGAGCUAUCAAAACAAGGAUAACAUGAGUGUAGUGGAUGGAUACAGGUCUCCUGGUCUGAGGAUUGGUAUUACAGAAGUCUGCUUUCCUGAGACCUACCAGAUCAAACGAACUGAUUAUCUGCUUUGUGAUGACUUCUCUGGAAUGAGUUUGUGAGUAGACACCUUUAAGGAACAUAGACCAUAGCGUUUAACCACACUGCUCUACUUUCAUAAUCAGUCCUUAGCAACAAUGUUUGGGUAUCUUG
rnacentral:lncRNA from 1 species